AUAUAACACACUUCCUCAGUACACACAGUACGCACACUGCAUCAGAACACUCUUUCUUCACACGCAGCAGCACCAUUCAAACUAAACAUGAGCGGAGCCAACGCAGUCAUCAACUCCGCCAUUGAGAAGGCUGCUGACAUGGCAAAAGACAAAGUAGCCGACCUGAUGGGGGGAAAGGCUGAAGACAAGGAAGGAGGUUUGUGCGGAUAAUUUUAUCCAAACUGGUUGAGUCUGCCGUCCUUGACUACAUAUAUAAUAAAUAUGUUUAUAUAAAUAUACAUAUAUGUAUAUAAGUUGAACUAUUCAGCAAUUGCUAUAAUGCAUUUAGAGGUCUACCAGUUUAGAUUAGAAGACUCGUUGAAAACUCACAAAGCCUGUUUUGGUUUGUUGGUAUUCUUACAUAGAAUAGUCAUGUUUUGCUAGGCCACUAACCACGUCUGUGUGUGUGUGUGUGUGUGUGUGUGUGUGUGUGUGUGUGUGUGUGUGUGUGUGUGUGUGUGUGUGUGUGUGUGUGUGUGUGUGUGUGUGUGUGUGUGUGUGUGUGUCUGUCUGUGUGUGUGUGUGUGUGUGUGUGUGUGUGUGUGUGUGUGUCUGUGUCUGUGUGUGUGUGUGUGUGUGUGUGUGUGUGUGUGUGUGUUCAGGUGCAGGAGCAGCUGCAGGAGCAGGAGACCUUUUAUCUGGCCUGGCCAGCGGGCUGGGAGGCGGAGAGGCAGCGCCAGCGGCCGAAGGCGCCGGCAUUGGUGGCUUAGCGAAAAAGUUUGGCUUCUAAUCUCCUGGACCCUUCCUUCUACAUACUGGAAUAUAUAUAUGAAUAUAAAUUGAGAAAAACCACAAGCCUGGAACUUUGACUUGGAGAUCAACCAGCUGCUGUAUGCCAAAUGGUGGCCCAAAAUUGUUGUUGUCAUGAAAAUAAAAUAAAUAACAACAAGCACUGCCUCAUGUUUUUCAUUCCGUUUUAUUGGUUUUCGACAAAGAGAAAAAAACAUUGACACCAUUUGGUGUCAAUGUACGAAGCAACCUUUGCUUCAUGCAGCAAACAUAUGAGUCAGUUUGGCUAAUUUGCCUGCAUCUGUCUGAAGGGCGUGUCUUUUUUGGGUAGCAUUUAUCUGUACCUCUCGCAUGUUUGGUCUUAUCCAGGGUUGCCCAAAGACAUUGGACAACUCAAAGAGCUAUCCCAGAGAGUCACAUGCCUUUGAUUUUUUAAGUAUGGAUUCAUAAAAGUUAGUGUUUUAUGUCAUGAUAUGAUAUGCUAUUUAUGUGUUGAAUGUGAAUCGACUGCGUUUGUUAUGUUAUAGUAACCCACACUCAUUUUUGUAGGCC
ensembl:lncRNA